UAAGGAAUAUUGCUCAAUGGGAGAAAUCCUGAAGCAGCAACGCCGCGUGGAGGAUGAAGGGUCUAUGACUUGUAAACUCCUGUAAAGAAGGAAAAAAUUCCCAUUAGAUGGGAGAUGAUGGUACUUCUGGAGUAAGCCCCGGCUAACUACGUGCCAGCAGCCGCGGUAAUACGUAGGGGGCAAGCGUUGUCCGGAUUUACUGGGUGUAAAGGGUGCUCAGGCGGAUUUGUAAGUCAGAGGUGAAAUCUUACAGCUUAGCUGUGAAACUGCCUUUGAUACUGCAAGCCUAGAGUAUGGAAGAGNGUGAUGGAAUAUCUGGUGUAGCAGUGAAAUGCGUAGAUAUCAGAUAGAACACCAAUGGCGAAGGCAGUCACUUGGUCCAUUACUGACGCUAAAGCACAAAAGCGUGGGUAGCAAACA
rnacentral:rRNA from 1 species